CGAGUAACCUACCCAUCAGAGGGGGAUAACACUUGGAAACAGGUGCUAAUACCGCAUAACAGUUUAUGCCGCAUGGCAUAAGAGUGAAAGGCGCUUUCGGGUGUCGCUGAUGGAUGGACCCGCGGUGCAUUAACUAGUUGGUGAGGUAACGGCUCACCAAGGCCACGAUGCAUAGCCGACCUGAGAGGGUGAUCGGCCACACUGGGACUGAGACACGGCCCAG
rnacentral:rRNA from 1 species